UACGGGGGGAGCAAGCGUUGUUCGGAUUUACUGGGCGUAAAGGGCGCGUAGGCGGCCACCGCAAGUCGACUGUGAAAUCUCCGGGCUUAACCCGGAAAGGUCAGCCGAUACUGCAGGGCUAGAGUGCAGAAGGGGCAACUGGAAUUCUCGGUGUAGCGGUGAAAUGCGCAGAUAUCGAGAGGAACACCUGCGGCGAAGGCGGGUUGCUGGGCUGACACUGACGCUGAAGUGCGAAAGCUAGGGGAGCGAACGGG
rnacentral:rRNA from 1 species